rfam:Rattus norvegicus chromosome 19, whole genome shotgun sequence.
GGGGAUUUAGCUCAGUGGUAGAGCGCUUGCCUAGCAAGCACAAGGCUCUGGGUUCAGUCCCCAGCUCCG